UAAGUCUCAGAAUAUAAAGUACUGCUUUAAACUUGAUUCUUGUCUGAUAGCUAUAUUUUAAUCAAAAAACUGGGAAAAAAAUCUUUGGAACCAACUUAUGAAGAAAAUACCUAUUAAGAUUUAAAUCAAAUCCAGCACUUGGGAGGUGGAGGAAGGAAAAUCGGAGGUUCAAGAUCACCCUAGGCUAUAUACUGAAUUCCAGGCCAGCCUGGGCUACAGGAAACCCUGUCUCAAAUUAACAAGAGUUUAGAUAAUUGAGGGGAAGAAAGGGUUUAUUCAAGCUUACAACUCUCAGAUCAUAUUCUACUGAAGGAAGCCAGCGUAAGGAUCUGGAGGUAGGAACUGUUGCAGAGUCCAUAAAGGGGUGCUGCUUACUGGCUUGUUCAUCAUGGCUUGCUUAGCCUGCUUCCUAAUAGUACCCAGGACCUCCAGCCUAGGGAUGACACUGUCCACAGUGGGCUGGGCCUUCUCACAUCAGUCAUCAAUCAAGAAAAUGCACUACAAGCCAUUCAGGUGGGGGUCAUUUUCCCUUUUCUCAAAUAACUCUAUACUGACCAGGAUGCAUGUAAAGAAUGCCAAGACCCAGCUGCGCUGCUUCUCUGUAAUGGCUCACGUGACACUGGAUUUGCUGUUCACAAUGUAUCAAAGGAAGGUGGUGGUCACCUCACUGCUGCAGUUCAUCCAGAUUCUUCAGCCAGGUCCCAGAGCAAUGCUUAACCAACAGUCCUCGCAGGGCGUUGGUGGCGCACGCCUUUAAUCUCAGCACUCAGGAGGCAGAGGCAGAGGCAGGUGGAUCUCUGUGAGUUCAAGGCCAGCCUGGUCUCCAGAGCGAGUGCCAGGAUAGGCUCCAAAGCUACACAGAGAAACUCUGCCUCGAAAAAUCAAAAAACAAAAACAAAAAAACAAAAACAAAAACAAAACCAACAGUCCUCCUCAGGACCCAUGCCAACUUCUCUAAUCAAGCCUCCUUGGAGGUGAUGAAGGGAAACACGUUUUCCUCAUGCCUCCAGGUAAUUUUUACUAUGCACUGCACCCACAAAAUUUCUCUCUGACAAGGCUUCUGCUUUUAGUAGAAGUCGAUGAACUGUUAACAGGUGGGGCUGUUGAACAUAAGUAGCAUUUUUUCAAAACAUCAGAUAUAGAAGCAUAAAUUUAUUUGGGGAGAUAUUUGCAGAAUGUCCAUGAUCAUCUCUAAAAACUAACACAACAGUAGCUCCUAGAGAAGAUAUUCUUGAUUGAUAUCAUGUGUGAACAAGAGUGGCAUGCUGUCAAUUCCCAGGUGAUUGACACCAGAGAGCCCAGUAUGAACAAAUGGUUACAAGCGGAGUGUACUUAGUACAGUAUUGGGGUCUGGCAUUCGGUUUGCAUUUCUGUCUUUGCCCCUUUGUUUCAGUCUCUUUCUUUGUUUGCCAUCUUGACUUUUCUGAGCAGCUGACUGAUUUUGUUACAGAGUGCAUCUGUUGUUUGGCUUACACCCCUGGCUUUCUGUAACCCAUAGUCUCAGUUACAGACACUGCCAGUAUUUACCCCUUGAAGCAUAUGUAGCUAAAGCUAAAAGGAAAAAUAGUAGCCUGUUUUAAAUCUUUCACCACCAUGUUCAGGUCAUAUGAAAAAGUUUGUGAUAGAAAAAUCCCAUGUUCAGUUAGAUCCACAACCCCAAGCCCUGGUCUGACCUUGCUCAUCUUUUCACCUCCUUGCUUCUGUUCUUUUGCUGCUUUCCUUUAUCUUAUAUAAUGUGGCCACACACUGUGCCCCACCCACUAUUUUACUUUUUAAUCAUUCUCUUCCUCUGUCUUUCUUUGUCCCAGGUCUGACAUAGCUCUGUUUGGAUCCUUUCCCUUUAUCUUUUAGGUCAAGGUUUUUAAAAAUUGUUCCAACUCUGAGACGUCCUGCUUGUUUGCAUGAUGAGUACUCUUCCAACUGGUUAAACCCAGUCUCUUGCCUGACCCUGCUCUGAGAGGCUGGCUUCUGUGGACUGCAUCACUCAGGCUCCUUCGCCCUCCGAGUCUGUUUGGUUUAGGCCAGUUUGGGAAGCAUUGGCAAAAGAUCAAAGGAAGGAAAGAGUCCAGAAUAUUUACUCCCUCCCUGUGACUGCAGCUUCAUCUACUAGGGCCUGCAGCUCCUGCCAGAUACCUGUGUCUUGUAGCCAAGUUCUAGAAACUGCUUAUCUCCCUUGUACCUUCAGGCCUAGAGAUGUCACGAUUAGAUUCUCUGUCAUUCUCUGUCCCUUCCCUUUAAAGUUGUCUCCACCUUUGUAAGAACUCUCCUCAUUAAACUCUCUUCAGUUAUCCUUUGAAGGUGCCAUCUGCUUCCUGCCAAGGACCCUGAGUAAUAUGUAAGUGGGAAUUAGAAAUUGUAUUCAACCUUGUCAACAAAGAGUACCGGUCCCAUUGAUUCUACAUUAAAAUUUGAAUGUGAGGUAAGUAUCUUGUGUUAUCCUAAUGCAUGUUCUUCAGGCAAAAUCUGGCAGACACUAAUUAUUCAAUAACUGUAGAAUGAAGGCUCUAUCCUUAUCUAAAAUCUAGGUGAGACAACUUCAAAAUAGUAAUUUAAACCAGAGUCUGUGUGUACAUGAGACAAAGUUAAGUUUCAUAAUGACAGAAUACUUUUAAUGGCAGAACUGUCUGUUUUUACCACAUGGCUAUUUGCAAUAAUGACUUUACUUCUUCCCUCCUUGCAUGGGCCUAGGUGCCACCAUGCUACUAGUUGUGACUAGUGUGAUAGAAGUUGAAGUGGUGUGUGCAGCACUGGGGACAGUCUUCUAAGGAAAUGACUCACCAUUCUUGUACUUCCCCCUGUUGGUUGAAAUCAGACCUGCCAUGCCAGGCUCCAAAAGGAAGGCAGAACCCAAGUGAAGGAGCAGGGUUCUUGAUACUGAAAUACCACAAUCAGCCCCAGAUUUCCAAGAAGAGAGAGAGAGAGAGAGAGAGAGAGAGAGAGAGAGAGAGAGAGAGAGAGAGAGACCAAGGAUAAGCCACCAUCAUCAGAAGUUGUGUUGAUACUCAGCCAGCAUCACUCCUGCUUAGUGUGGGUAUAUUUUUAUUCUCUUGGCUGCUGUGAAAAUCUGGCCCACCAAUGAAUUGAAACCACAUUCAAUAGUUUAUCAUCCUGGAAGACAGAAGUCCAAAAUGGAUGCCACAAGGCUAAAUUAUUCUUUAUUGACGUUUUGGCAGGAUUGGGGGAAUCAGAAAGUUUUAGGGGAGAACAUUUCUUUGUCUUGUCCAGCUUUGAAGGCCACUCAUAGUCCUUAGCUGGCAGGCCUCUUUCUCUGUCUCCAGACUCACCAACAUCUGCAGAGCCUUGUUCCAAUGACCUGCUCACUGGUCCUCUGUUCUGCUCAUCUAACCCACAAGGUGGAUGUUUCUGUGAUGAACUUAGCCCUGCCUGAAUCAUUCCAGCUGCCUCCCUACUUUAAGAUUAUCUGCCCACUGAAUCUAGCCACUGCAAGACAAUGGGUGUGGAACUCUCUGCUGGAGUCUUUUGGACUUCCCAGUGGGUGCACAACUGAAAAAAAAAAAAGUGACAGUCUCUUCCACAGCUUCUGUCAAUAGCCAGUAGUUCCCCAAGGAGGGAAUUACGGCGUGGGUUCGAAUAAUUGUUUCAUCUUCAGAAACCUCACUUUAUUGAUGAUAAAGUCAUCUCUGGAUCGGUGGUGUAGCAGCAAGAGGUCCCCUGCUGCCAAAAGGAAACAAGGACUAGGAAGACACUUUGGACCUCUUAAUUUCCAGGCCACUUGAUAGCAGCCACAGUUCAUUACCCAGGAAAAUUGCUUGAUCUCUGAGAAAGGGUGCUGGAGGUGAGGGAAAAUGAGUUUGCCACCAACACAGUUCACCUGGCAACUCAGUCAUUUGGACCUAACUAGAGAACGAUUGCAGCCAUGUUCCUGAUGAGGCAGCAAGCUGCUUCCUGCAGUUACUCGGUGAUCAUGUGUAUCCUGUGUCUAGAGUGUAGGGGGGGAAGUGAGGGAAGCAAAGGAAGACCCUCUCCCCUCUGCCACUCCCAUCUGCUCUUCCUUUCAUGGCUGCAAAUCCUGUCUUUAAUUCUGUUGUAACUUAAACUCAGUCACACCCAGAAUUAGAUUCCAAAGCACAAUGUAUAAAUAUUCAGAUAAAAAUAGGAACAGAGAUACUUUAUUGAGUAAUGGCUGUAUGUUUGUUUCCAAACAUGUUCUCAUGAUAUACAAAACUUUAGGCCUGUGGUGUAGCUCAGUGGUGGGGCACUUAACAUGCAGAAGGGCCUGGGUUCAAUUCCACAGCACCACCAAAAUAUUUUAAAUGAAUACUCUUACUUAAUUCUUGUCUAGUGGAACAAUUUCAGAAAUAUAAUACAUACCUUCCUGCUAUAAUGAUUUCCUUGUGAGGACAACCCUAUAAUGUCCCUCCUUUUACCUCUCUUCAUCUUCCAUUUAUUCUGGUCUCUCAUCACUCAG
ensembl:lncRNA